AGCUGUUCACAAUCACCCAAACCAAACAGAAAAUGAUGACGCCUGCUGCUACCACGCCGUGUGCUGGCCCUUAUGAGCGAUGACUGGUGAUGCUAUAUCCUUAGGCGGAAGCGGUACCCCCGCCGUGCUCAGCAACCUUCGCCAGGAGGUCGUCCUUCCUGGCGCCGACAAUUUUGUGGACUUCCUUGCCCUCCUUGAUGAGGAGGAAGGUCGGCAUCGCCUCGACCUUGUAUUCAGCGGCGACUUCCUGUUGAACAAGGAAACAGCGUUAGUACGACGUUACAGGGCAAGGGCAAGUGUUUUGGAGAACUAUCGGUACACCGUGCUCACCUUCAGCUCGUCAACGUCCACCUUGAGGAAGACAACGUGGGGAUAACUCUUGGCGAGUUCAGCAAAAACUGGGGCAAUGAUGCGGCAAGGACCACACCAGGAGGCAGUGAAGUCGAUGACCACCUGGGGUGCAAAAAAGUUGACAAAUGCCCCAAAGUUAGCAGCAGUAUAACUGGGUGUGGCACAGAUCAACUAUGCCAUCAGAGGAAAAUAACAUAGCAAAACUCAACUGUGGUUGAGUAAGACUAUGGAGCAUUUGCUUGUGCACAAAUGCCCAUGCCCCACGAAGAUUACAAACCAGUCAUACCAAGAAAAAAAAAAGUAUAAAGCCAGCCUAUCGCCCUUGAAUUCUAUCCAAUUUCAACGACUUCCAUACGCAACAAUUCUUCCCUAAUCUCAAAUAAUUUCCC
rnacentral:lncRNA from 1 species